GACCGCGUAGUUCAGUUGGCAGAGCAUUGGGCUAGUAUUCCAUAGGUCGUAGGUUCGAUUCCCACCGUGGCCA
rnacentral:tRNA from 1 species